rnacentral:lncRNA from 1 species
GUGGCUUUGAGCGUGUUGAAUUCUGGGAUACAACAUGGCUCCUUUGUGUUAUAAUUUCAGAUGUGUAGUUAACUCGUAAUUAUUCUUUGACAACAUAACGACAGCUUUAGCGGGCUACUGGUUAUGACGUAUAAACAGCUGCAGUGUUCUAAGUGUUUUCAGUUUAAAACCUGGUUGUAUAUUUGAAUUAAAUAAUGUCAGACCAGGGUUCCAAAGUGAAACGACGCUCAGCUCAGUCCAGCACAACCUCUGAGGAAAGGCGGUCAAGGAGUACAGAGAAGGAGAAGAGGAAACGGAAACAAAGCCGCAGCCGAUCUUCAUCAUCCUCCAGUUCGUCGAGCUCCUCCUCUUCAUCGUCAGCAUCGUCCUCCUCGUCCUGUUCCUCUCUCAGUAGGAGCAGCAGCAGUAGCAGUGAUUCCCACAGCAAGUCAAAAUCGAAGAAAAGAAAGAAGGAAAAGCAUCCCAGAAAGAAGGGGAAAAAAGAGAAAAAACACAAGAGAAAGAAGGACAAAAAAUCUAAGGCAGAUAGUGAAAGCUCUGGGCCUGUUCAGAUAUCCAAGUAUCUGAAGGAAAAAAAGAAGGGUGGAAAGUACAGCAUGAUCUCAGGGAAGAGGAUUAAAAUGAAGGUGAAAAAAUCUAAAAAGGAUAAGCAGAGGGACAAAAAUCGUGCUGAACUGCUGGAGUUCCUCAACUCUGCCUUGUGACCUACGCCAUUGUGACUGUAGAACUAAAACCCCUUCAUUGUCCACAAUCAUGAGGAGUGACCUUGCAACAAGCUAGUAGUCUAACUCAGGGAAAGUUCAUUAACUGUUCCUGCACCUGAGCUCAAUCUCUAUAAUUGUUUCCAGAUCAAAUAAGAAAAAAAAUUAGGACCUAAUUAAAGUGUUGUCUCAACAAAAUAGACCCUUCUUUUGAUUGGGGAAAAUUGAGUCCUUUUUUUCUUGUCUAUUUAAAACUUGCUUAAGCUUUAAAUAUUUGGCAUACUGUAUUAUAAUAUUUUCUAUUGAUAUUUUAAAUGUAUGCUUUUGGAAGAUGUGUGCAAGGUCCUUCAGAAAAUCAGUGGACUGCACUGUAAUAGAAACGGUAUCAACACUUUCAGUAAUUCCAUAAUUGGUUGUAUUUCUCAAAACCUUCAAUUAAUGUAAUAUUCUGUACAGUACUGCAGUGUCUUUCCAGAAUUUCAGUUUGGUCACAUAGCGUUGUUCUUUCUUUUCCUUUUUUUUUUUAAAAAAAAAAAAAAAAAAAAAGAUUUUUCAUAUUUUUGGAUUUAGGUUUUUUAUUUUACAGUAUUUCAUAGACCUAUUGUAACAGAACAUAAGGACUAGAGCAAAGAUCUAUGGAAUGGUUUCAGAAAAAAACAAUAGUUUGUAAGAGCUGGAUAAAGGUUCAGACAGAACCAUAAUGUGUGUUACCCAGGGCUAAUUGUUUUUACUACAUUUAGAUAUUAAAAUACCAUUGCUGUCAUAAAUUUGUGUAAAUAUACAGCACCUAACCCCUUUAACAGUAUAAAUGUGAUUUCUUUACAAAUAUUUUGGAAUACACGAAACCAAAAAUGUAGUCAUGAAAGAAGGCUGAGUUGUGACAUAUGUCCUCAAUUAGAAUCUAUGUACAAUAUUCCUCAGUCUAAUAAAUCAGUGUUUUAUCCCUAUUUUCA